GAUCAUAAUAACGGCAAAGACGAGAAGAAGACUACCUUUAUUUUGGAAGAUUUGCAACACCAUCAGAUUUACGUCACGUUAUGGGGUUGUUAUGCUGAUCAGAUUUUAGAUUUUGAGAAGAACAAUAAGGAUGAAAAGAAUGUUGUGGUUGUUGUUCAGUUUGGGAAGUACAGAUUUUGGGGAGGUAAUUUGUUUGUCUCCAAUUUGUAUAAUGUAACUCGAGUCUUGAUAAACUCUGAGGUGAAAGAGAUUUUGGAUUUCAAGAAAAGGUUUGUAAUC